UACGGAGGGUGCAAGCGUUAUCCGGAUUCACUGGGUUUAAAGGGUGCGUAGGUGGCGCGUUAAGUCCGUUGUGAAAUCCCUUGGCUCAACCAAGGAACUGCUUCGGAUACUGGCGUGCUUGAGGCUAGUAGAGGUCACUGGAACUGACGGUGGAGCGGUGAAAUGCGUAGAUAUCGUCAGGAACGCCAAUGGUGAAGACAGGUGACUGGGCUAGUUCUGACACUGAGGCACGAAAGCGUGGGGAGCGAACGGG
rnacentral:rRNA from 1 species